UCCAAGCGCGGAAAAAUAAGUAUAAAUUAAAAAAUAAAAAAAAGAUUACUUACAUUCUAUAAAAUCAACAAAACAAUUUCUUCUUGAAGUAAACAACAACAUACUUCCGUGAUUAGACGGAGGUCUAAGUAAGGACAAUAUCGGCGAUGUAAUUAUAUAAAACAGCGACCUAAAACCGGUACGAAAAAAAGAAAAAAAAAGUAACUCUGGUCGCCGAAUAGAAGAUUGAAAGCAACCAAGGAUGGAAGAUCUCGAGCCAGAUGAAUAGCAUCCUCUGUCCUCCGAGUUAAGUCGUGGAAUGCCACGGAUGCAUGAGAAGAAACACAUUGAGGAUAAAAAAAUAUUGCUACACCUCAGAUGCUGUACCCGGCAACAAAAGAGUCGAUUGUCUGCAAUUUGCGAGCCGAUUGUUCGCACCUCCAGCGCGAAUAAGGACAAAGAAAAAGAACGAACGUGGACUACAGGCAGGAACACGGAUCAACACAUGUGAAUGUUCCCCGAAGAUCUAAGAACGGCGUCGGCCGUUAAUCAAGGAUUUAACACCCGCGACUUACAAUGGAGAACCGGAUCCUCGGAUUAAGCCUCGUGGUCCUCAUCUUGGGACUUAACUUUGGAUUUCUACGAACUGAAUCGGCUGCUUAUCCAGAUGAGAGCAAGGCGACCACUCGUAUACAUCGUAACGGCUCAAGGCGUCGCAGAUGGAGAUGAGAUCAGCAUAUAUGAGGCGAGUAUAAAUAAAAAAAUAAUGAGGUAUAUCUUAUAUUAUAUAUACAACCAACAAAACUCAAGUACCAAUACUUGUCCGUAAGCAAGAAAGCGAGAGCCGACAUUAUAAAUCGUAUUGAGAUGAACAAAGACAACCUUAGAGGUUAGUUCGAAUCUCAAACUCUCUGACUCUUCUCCUUUGUAUUGAGGAUUGAGAAUGAGAGGCAUUACAUAGCCAAGCACGAAAUCUCGGAUCUAUUCUCUUCCUUCUUCUUCUUCUUCUUCUUCUUCUUCUUCUUCUUCUUACAUUACAUUGGUUAUGUUAGUCGUGGGAUGAGAUGAGAAGGUGGAAAUAUAUUUCAUUCCCCAUCCCCACGCCACCUUGAGACGAGACUCGACUACCAGCGGUACUUGGGCAACAAAAGGCCCAAAUGUUAGGCUUAUAUUAUUCGGUAGCUGGAUUUUUCUACUCAAUUAGUUAGUGGUCGGGCUUGUUUUCCUCCUACGCGACUUUCUCACUCUGAUUGUUGAGAGUUUUAAGAAGCUACGGAGUGGGAGAGAGAGGCGAACAGGCCUCACACAAUUCACACCUGACUCUAACGAUAAAAACAUGCCUCGAGAUAACUUAAACUCAACACAGACAACUUUUCACUAUCUUUACAGGUAGCGAAUUUAUUUUAUUUAUACGUGUUAAUAUAAAUGCUACACGAUUAAGGAUUUAGGUUAGUUUUU